UUAUCUCUGUAGAGUCUGCAUAUCAAUAAGCGGAGGAAAAGAAACUAACAAGGAUUCCCUUAGUAACGGCGAGUGAAGCGGGAAGAGCUCAAAUUUGAAAUCUUCAAGGUUCUACCUUGACGAAUUGUAGUUUAAAGAAGUGUUUUCUGUUAGAUGAGUAGCAAAAGUUCCUUGGAAUGAGACAUCAUAGAGGGUGAGAAUCCCGUAUUUGGUUAUUCAUUCCAGCUUUGUGAUACACUUUCAAAGAGUCGGAUUGUUUGGGAAUGCAGUCCAAAAUGGGUGGUAAAUCUCAUCUAAAGCUAAAUAUUGGCGAGAGACCGAUAGCGAACAAGCACCGUGAGGGAAAGAUGAAAAGAACUUUGAAAAGAGAGUUAAACAGUACGUGAAAUUGUCAAAAGGGAAGCGUUUGGACACCAGUGUUGUUUUUCCGAAAAUCAAUUACGAAUGGCUUGAUUUUGUGUUGUAUUGACCUUAUCAGCUUUCUUCACUUUUUUCGAGUCUUUCUUAAUGCACUUUUCGGUUAACAAGUCAACAUCAAUUUCUUUUGUUGUAAAAGAGUAUUCGGAAGGUGGCUUUCUUUUCGGAGAAAGUGUUUAUAGCCCUAUACUUCUACAAUCGGAGAGAUUGAGGUCCGCAGCGUAGAUCCUUCGGGGUUAGAUACAUUUGUGCUAAGUUGUAGCUUUUCAUAGACAACUUGUUGACUAUGUUUAGUCAUGCGGCUUACUCGCUUAUGCUAUUUUACCUACGCUUAGGAUGUUGACUGAUAUGUAGUCGUA
rnacentral:rRNA from 1 species